rnacentral:rRNA from 1 species
AUGCUUCAGAUCGUAGACCUCCGAUUUACAGGAUGUUCCCGUGACUGGCCAUCAGAAAUAGGAUUCACACAGGAGGGUUUUCUGGCACUCAUUCAGUCCUGCCCAAUUCGUGUUCUCGUGCUAAACACCGCCAACUUCUUUGAUGACAAGGGGAUGAAGGCCCUCUCAUCCUCAUCACAUCUGGAGACACUCGAGCUUAUAUUGUGUCAUUGGGUAACUGAUGCUGGGAUGCGAUUCAUUGCACACACCCCAUGCUUGAGUAAUCUCACACUUCGGGCAUGUCAUAAAGUUACUGAUGUUGGAGUGGCUGAACUGGGACGUGCACAUAAGUUAGAGUCUUUGGUCAUUGACCAUUGUGGUAGGGUCUCUCUGCAAGCUGCACAGGGUGUUACCAAGUCAGUUCACUACUCCAGUAAGUGUUCAGAUGCCCUUAUGAAGAAAAUUGGUUUGAUUGACGAGUAUUGA